UACGUAGGGUGCAAGCGUUAUUCGGAAUUACUGGGCGUAAAGCGUGCGCAGGCGGUUUUGUAAGACAGAUGUGAAAUGCCCGGGCUUAACCUGGGAACUGCAUUUGUGACUGCAUGGCUAGAAUCUGGCAGAGGGGGGUAGAAUUCCACGUGUAGCAGUGAAAUGCGUAGAUAUGUGGAGGAACACCGAUGGCGAAGGCAGCCCCCUGGGUCAAGAUUGACGCUCAUGCACGAAAGCGUGGGGAGCAAACAGG
rnacentral:rRNA from 1 species